rnacentral:tRNA from 1 species
GGAGGGUACAGCUCAGCGGUAGAGCACAUGCUCAGCAUGCAGGAGGUCCUGGGUUCAGUUCCCAGUCUCUCCG